rnacentral:tRNA from 1 species
CAGAUGUAGUUCAAUGGCAGAACGCCAGCUUCCCAAGCUGGACACGCGGGUUCGAUUCCCGUCAUCUG